UACGGAGGGUGCAAACGUUGCUCGGAAUUAUUGGGCGUAAAGCGCACGUAGGCGGUCUAGCAAGUCGGGUGUGAAAGCCCUCAGCUUAACUGAGGAAGUGCAUUCGAAACUACUAGGCUUGAGUACUGAAGAGGACGACGGAAUUCCCGGUGUAGAGGUGAAAUUCGUAGAUAUCGGGAGGAACACCAGUGGCGAAGGCGGCUUCCUGGACCUGUUCUGACGCUGAGGAGCGAAAGCGUGGGGAGCGAUCCGG
rnacentral:rRNA from 1 species